UAGGGAAUCUUCCGCAAUGGACGAAAGUCUGACGGAGCAACGCCGCGUGAGUGAAGAAGGAUUUCGGUUCAUAAAACUCUGUUGUUAGGGAAGAAAAAAUGUAUAGUAACUAUAUACAAAAGAGACGGUACCUAACCAGAAAGCCACGGCUAACUACGUGCCAGCAGCCGCGGUAAUACGUAGGUGGCAAGCGUUGUCCGGAAUUAUUGGGCGUAAAGCGCGCGCAGGUGGUUUAGAAAGUCUGAUGUGAAAGCCCACGGCUCAACCGUGGAGGGUCAUUGGAAACUAAUAAACUUGAGUGCAGGAGAGAAAAGUGGAAUUCCUAGUGUAGCGGUGAAAUGCGUAGAGAUUAGGAGGAACACCGGUGGCGAAAGCGGCUUUUUGGCCUGCAACUGACACUGAGGCGCGAAAGCGUGGGGAGCAAACAGG
rnacentral:rRNA from 1 species